GGCUGUUGUCCAUUUUGUGAUGCCUGAAGCAGGAGCAAUCUUCAACCAAGAAACGAGCCACUUUGAGUCCUUCGAGCAGAUUCAUAGGCUGUUCAUGGGUAACGGAAAUCAAUCAGUUGACGAAUGGUUGUUGAAGCGUUUAAAACACGAACUGCCUGAUGAUCUUUUCAAGAAGGUAAAGCAAGUGAUCAAGGAGAAACCUGUUAAGUUCCAAUUGCCUCGGAUUGCAGCAGGUAAUGCAGCUUAAUCACUGGAUGCAAAACUAUGAUCAGAAUCGGGACAUAUUUAGAUGUUAUGUGUUGCAGGGAACCAAUUUGCAUGGAUGGAUGACGAUGAAUUUGGACGGCAGAUGCUUGCUGGAACUAAUCCAACUGUAAUUUCAUCUCUGCAGGUAGACAAGAAAAUCUCUGAACAAUGAAAAUGUCAUCAGCUUUAAUCGCAUUUCUAAAACUUUUUUAAGCGCAAUCUACACUUUGUAUCAUUAAUCACUCACAUGUUUUCUCUAUAUUGCAGAAUUUCCCACCAGACGGCAGCAAUGGAGUCAAGAGUUCGAUAAAGGGAUCCGACAUAGAGCAUAACCUUGAUGGUCUGACAGUUGCAGAGGUAGAAAGGACCAAAUCUUGAUUUGAAUGCAGCCAUGUUCAAGUGACUGGUUAUGUCGUUAACUGAAAAUUGAGCAGGAAAAGAAUUCAAAUUCUUCGCCAAAGAAAUAUUUAACUUGGAAGAUGAUAUAUAAUACAAUACCUCUGUACGAUCUUCAUCUUCUACAAUAAUGCAGGCAAUGAACCAGUGGAGACUUUUCAAGCUAGAUCACCACGAUUAUCUGAUGCCAUUCUUGACGAGAAUAAACAGAGAUGAGGGUGUAUG
rnacentral:lncRNA from 1 species